rnacentral:rRNA from 1 species
UACGUAGGGGGCUAGCGUUAUCCGGAUUUACUGGGCGUAAAGGGUGCGUAGGCGGUCUUUUAAGUCAGGAGUGAAAGGCUACGGCUCAACCGUAGUAAGCUCUUGAAACUGGAAGACUUGAGUGCAGGAGAGGAGAGUGGAAUUCCUAGUGUAGCGGUGAAAUGCGUAGAUAUUAGGAGGAACACCAGUAGCGAAGGCGGCUCUCUGGACUGUAACUGACGCUGAGGCACGAAAGCGUGGGGAGCAAACAGG